UUACUCGUGAUGGUUGAUAGCUUAGCUAAAUUAAGUAUGGAUGUUGGGGAUAAGGAUCUGGUGUACAGUUUGUUACUUGUCUUCUCUGGAAUGUUGAUGGAUGAAAAAGGCAAAGAGUGCAUUCUGGACAACAUCCAAAUCACAAUCAGCGUUCUUAGUGAACUUGUUUCCUAUCCUCACAUGAUGGUUGUGCGGGAGACAACAU